rnacentral:misc_RNA from 1 species
GAUGAAGAACGCAGCGAAAUGCGAUAAGUAAUGUGAAUUGCAGAAUUCAGUGAAUCAUCGAAUCUUUGAACGCACAUUGCGCCCGCCAGUAUUCUGGCGGGCAUGCCUGUUUGAGCGUCAUUACAACCCUCAGGCCCCCGGGCCUGGCGUUGGGGAUCGGCGGAGCCCCCCGUGGGCACACGCCGUCCCCCAAAUGCAGUGGCGGUCCCGCCGCAGCUUCCAUCGCGUAGUAGCUAACACCUCGCGACUGGAGAGCGGCGCGGCCACGCCGUAAAACACCCAACUCUUCUGAAGUUGACCUCGAAUCAGGUAGGAAUACCCGCUGAACUUAAGCAUAUCAAUAAGCGGAGGA